rnacentral:rRNA from 1 species
AUUGAACGCUGGCGGCAUGCCUUACACAUGCAAGUCGAACGGCAGCGGGGGAGAAGCUUGCUUUUCCUGCCGGCGAGUGGCGAACGGGUGAGUAAUACAUCGGAACGUGCCCUGUAGUGGGGGAUAACUAGUCGAAAGAUUAGCUAAUACCGCAUACGACCUGAGGGUGAAAGUGGGGGACCGCAAGGCCUCAUGCUAUAGGAGCGGCCGAUGUCUGAUUAGCUAGUUGGUGGGGUAAAGGCCUACCAAGGCGACGAUCAGUAGCUGGUCUGAGAGGAGGAUCAGCCACACUGGGACCGAGACACGGCCCAGACUCCUACGGGAGGCAGCAGUGGGGAAUUUUGGACAAUGGGCGAAAGCCUGAUCCAGCAAUGCCGCGUGUGUGAAGAAGGCCUUCGGGUUGUAAAGCACUUUUGUCCGGAAAGAAAUGGCUCUGGUUAAUACCUGGGGUCGAUGACGGUACCGGAAGAAUAAGGACCGGCUAACUACGUGCCAGCCGCCGCAGUAA